CUUAUGCAUUUGAGCCUGAUAUGGUUAUCACCUUUGAUAUUCGUCCGGAAGAUGAUAUUGAAGGUAAUAAAGACAUAUGGGUCGAUAUGCAGACGCCUCCAGUUCUACCAUUAUCUUAUCUCCAUUCAACCAAACAUGUCCGGCGCUUGGUAAACAGGACCUUCUACUGUCCCAGAGCUAAACUAAACUGCGAGGAGAUAAGUCAUUAUGUUUCAUGGCUUGAGGAUCUUCAUACUGUCAAGACAA